rnacentral:rRNA from 1 species
GACGAACGCUGGCGGCGUGCCUAAUACAUGCAAGUCGAGCGGACGAAUUUUUGGUGCUUGCACCGAAUUUUCGUUAGCGGCGGACGGGUGAGUAACACGUGGGUAACCUACCUUGUAGACUGGGAUAACUUCGGGAAACCGAGGCUAAUACCGGAUAAUACUUUGAAACACAUGUUUCGAAGUUGAAAGAUGGUCUUGCUAUCACUACAAGAUGAACCCGCGCCGAAUUAGCUAGUUGGUGAGGUAACGGCUCACCAAGGCAACGAUGCGUAGCCGACCUGAGAGGGUGAUCGGCCACACUGGGACUGAGACACGGCCCAGACUCCUACGGGAGGCAGCAGUAGGGAAUCUUCCACAAUGGACGAAAGUCUGAUGGAGCAACGCCGCGUGAGUGAAGAAGGAUUUCGGUUCGUAAAACUCUGUUGCAAGGGAAGAACAAGUAGCGUAGUAACUGGCGCUACCUUGACGGUACCUUGUUAGAAAGCCACGGCUAACUACGUGCCAGCAGCCGCCGUAAGAC